UUUUAGCCCAGAUAGUAGUGAAAAGCUUUUUGAAAUGGAGUUACAUUUUAUUACAAGAAAAGAGCGACCAAAGAGAGCUCCUUUUAUUGUUUAUAAAAAUGUAAACGAAAUAAAAAAACUUGUAACAAAUAGCUGGAUUUGCU
rnacentral:sRNA from 1 species